CUGGUCAUAUUUAAUUAUAAUAUGAACCAAUGAUUUUCUGAUUGCUGAUUCUAAGAGAGUCUUUGUGGAAAUCCUGUUUGGCUUUUUGUCAUUUUAAUUCUCUUUUCUGUUUUCCAGAACAGUUCUCCACAGUCACUGUCCACAUGGGUCAGUGGGACCAAGAAGCACUCUGCUAAUGUGUGGACUCUGACCAGCAACAUCCAGCAAGACCCAGACAGCGUUUUCUAUCUCCCUGCUGGAGUUUUUUUGUUUGUCUGUGACUGGAGAGUCAGAUUUUUGUUGAGGCUGGAGGAACAGCCUCACACUUGCAGAGGUUAAUACACUCUACUGAUCCCUGAUGGGAGAAUCUUCACCUCUGCCAACAAAGAAGCCUGGUGGAUAUUUGUUUGCAGUCUGAUGAUGGGACAUCAUGCUCUGCAUCUUCAAAGUUUGUCUCUUGAUUAUUAUUCAUACACAGUAAUGUGAAGCAUGCUUAUAUCUAGUAUAACUGGACCAACCUGGUGCUCUUCAUUUAUGGAGGCUGUUGAGUCUGAAUGUUGGAUGUUGUGUAUCUCGUGUUCUCUGGGCUUUGUUGUCCUCAGUCUUUUUGCAGGAUCAGG